CGCGAAGAACCUUACCUGGUCUUGACAUCCACGGAAGUUUCCAGAGAUGGGAAGGUGCCUUCGGGAACCGUGAGACAGGUGCUGCAUGGCUGUCGUCAGCUCGUGUUGUGAAAUGUUGGGUUAAGUCCCGCAACGAGCGCAACCCUUAUCCUUUGUUGCCAGCGGUCCGGCCGGGAACUCAAAGGAGACUGCCAGUGAUAAACUGGAGGAAGGUGGGGAUGACGUCAAGUCAUCAUGGCCCUUACGACCAGGGCUACACACGUGCUACAAUGGCGCAUACAAAGAGAAGCGACCUCGCGAGAGCAAGCGGACCUCAUAAAGUGCGUCGUAGUCCGGAUUGGAGUCUGCAACUCGACUCCAUGAAGUCGGAAUCGCUAGUAAU
rnacentral:rRNA from 2 species